rnacentral:pre_miRNA from 1 species
CAGGGUAGAUAUAGGGCCCGUGUAGAUUUGAAUCCGUCGGUCAUAUGUCUGCCUGAUU